AUUGAACGCUGGCGGAAUGCUUUACACAUGCAAGUCGAACGGUAGAGGGGGCAACCCCUCGAGAGUGGCGAACGGGUGAGUAAUAUAUCGGAACGUGCCCAGUCGUGGGGGAUAACGUAGCGAAAGUUACGCUAAUACCGCAUACGAUCUAAGGUUGAAAGCGGGGGAUCGCAAGAACUCGCGCGAUUGGAGCGGCAGAUAUCAGAUUAGGUAGUUGGUGGGGUAAAGUCUCACCAAGCCAACGGUCUGUAGCGGGUCUGAGAGGACGACCAGGCAAACUGGAACUGAGACACAGUCAAGACUCCUACGAGAGGCAGCCGUGGGGAAUUUUGGACAAUGGACGCAAGUCUGAUCCAGCCAUUCCGCGUGCAGGAUGAAGGCCCUCGGGUUGGAAUCUGCUUUUGUACGGAACGAAAAGGUCUCUCUUAAUACGGGGGGCUCAUGACGGUACCGUAAGAAUAAGCACCGGCUAACUACGUGCCAGCCGCCGCCGUAA
rnacentral:rRNA from 1 species